CAACCUGCCUUUGUGAAUGGGAUAACUUCGGGAAACCGGAGCUAAUACCGUAUAAUGUUCUAAUAUCGCCUGAUAUAAGAAUCAAAGAUGCUUUUGUAUCGCACAGAGAUGGGCCUGCGUUCCAUUAGCUAGUUGGUAAGGUAACGGCUUACCAAGGCGACGAUGGAUAGCUGAUCUGAGAGGGUGAUCAGCCACACUGGGACUGAGAUACGGCCCAG
rnacentral:rRNA from 1 species